UACGUAGGGUGCGAGCGUUGUCCGGAAUUAUUGGGCGUAAAGAGCUUGUAGGCGGUUUGUCGCGUCUGCUGUGAAAAUCCAGGGCUUAACCCUGGACCUGCAGUGGGUACGGGCAGACUAGAGUGCGGUAGGGGAGAUCGGAAUUCCUGGUGUAGCGGUGAAAUGCGCAGAUAUCAGGAAGAACACCUAUGGCGAAAGCAGCUCUCUGGGACGGUACUGACGCUGAGACGCGAAAGCGUGGGGAG
rnacentral:rRNA from 1 species